rnacentral:tRNA from 1 species
CGCGGAGUGGAGCAGAGGUCAGCUCGCCGGGCUCAUUCCCCGGAGGUCGCGGGUCCGAAUCCCGCCUCCGCAA